UACGGAGGGAGCUAGCGUUGUUCGGAAUUACUGGGCGUAAAGCGCGCGUAGGCGGCUUUGUAAGUUAGAGGUGAAAGCCCGGGGCUCAACUCCGGAACUGCCUUUAAGACUGCAUCGCUUGAAUCCGGGAGAGGUGAGUGGAAUUCCGAGUGUAGAGGUGAAAUUCGUAGAUAUUCGGAAGAACACCAGUGGCGAAGGCGGCUCACUGGACCGGUAUUGACGCUGAGGUGCGAAGGUCAGGGGAGCAAACAGG
rnacentral:rRNA from 1 species